CGGCUUAACACAUGCAAGUCGAGGGGCAGCAUUCCUGUUUGCUUGCAAACUGGAGAUGGCGACCGGCGCACGGGUGAGUAACACGUAUCCAACCUGCCGAUAACUCGGGGAUAGCCUUUCGAAAGAAAGAUUAAUACCCGAUGGUAUAAUCAGACCGCAUGGUCUUGUUAUUAAAGAAUUUCGGUUAUCGAUGGGGAUGCGUUCCAUUAGGCAGUUGGUGAGGUAACGGCUCACCAAACCUUCGAUGGAUAGGGGUUCUGAGAGGAAGGUCCCCCACAUUGGAACUGAGACACGGUCCAAACUCCUACGGGAGGCAGCAGUGAGGAAUAUUGGUCAAUGGACGCGAGUCUGAACCAGCCAAGUAGCGUGAAGGAUGACUGCCCUAUGGGUUGUAAACUUCUUUUAUAUGGGAAUAAAGUUUUCCACGUGUGGAAUUUUGUAUGUACCAUAUGAAUAAGGAUCGGCUAACUCCGUGCCAGCAGCCGCGGUAAUACGGAGGAUCAGAGCGUUAUCCGGAUUUAUUGGGUUUAAAGGGAGCGUAGGUGGACAGUUAAGUCAGUUGUGAAAGUUUGCGGCUCAACCGUAAAAUUGCAGUUGAUACUGGCUGUCUUGAGUACAGUAGAGGUGGGCGGAAUUCGUGGUGUAGCGGUGAAAUGCUUAGAUAUCACGAAGAACUCCGAUUGCGAAGGCAGCUCACUGGACUGCAACUGACACUGAUGCUCGAAAGUGUGGGUAUCAAACAGGAUUAGAUACCCUGGUAGUCCACACAGUAAACGAUGAAUACUCGCUGUUUGCGAUAUACAGUAAGCGGCCAAGCGAAAGCAUUAAGUAUUCCACCUGGGGAGUACGCCGGCAACGGUGAAACUCAAAGGAAUUGACGGGGGCCCGCACAAGCGGAGGAACAUGUGGUUUAAUUCGAUGAUACGCGAGGAACCUUACCCGGGCUUAAAUUGCAUUUGAAUAUAUUGGAAACAGUAUAGCCGUAAGGCAAAUGUGAAGGUGCUGCAUGGUUGUCGUCAGCUCGUGCCGUGAGGUGUCGGCUUAAGUGCCAUAACGAGCGCAACCCUUAUCUUUAGUUACUAACAGGUCAUGCUGAGGACUCUAGAGAGACUGCCGUCGUAAGAUGUGAGGAAGGUGGGGAUGACGUCAAAUCAGCACGGCCCUUACGUCCGGGGCUACACACGUGUUACAAUGGGGGGUACAGAAGGCAGCUACCUGGUGACAGGAUGCUAAUCCCAAAAGCCUCUCUCAGUUCGGAUCGAAGUCUGCAACCCGACUUCGUGAAGCUGGAUUCGCUAGUAAUCGCGCAUCAGCCAUGGCGCGGUGAAUACGUUCCCGGGCCUUGUACACACCGCCCGUCAAGCCAUGAAAGCCGGGGGUACCUGAAGUACGUAACAGCAAGGAGCGUCCUAGGGUAAAACUGGUAAUUG
rnacentral:rRNA from 1 species